rnacentral:rRNA from 1 species
GACGAACGCUGGCGGCGUGCUUAACACAUGCAAGUCGAACGGUGACGAGGAGCUUGCUCCUCCGAUCAGUGGCGAACGGGUGAGUAACACGUGAGCAACCUGCCCCUCACUCUGGGAUAACAGUUGGAAACAGCUGCUAAUACCGGAUACGACACAGACAGGCAUCUGUACUGUGUGGAAAGUUUUUUCGGUGAGGGAUGGGCUCGCGGCCUAUCAGUUUGUUGGUGGGGUAAUGGCCUACCAAGACGACGACGGGUAGCCGGCCUGAGAGGGCGACCGGCCACACUGGGACUGAGACACGGCCCAGACUCCUACGGGAGGCAGCAGUGGGGAAUAUUGCACAAUGGGCGAAAGCCUGAUGCAGCGACGCCGCGUGAGGGAUGACGGCCUUCGGUUGGUAAACCUCUUUCAGCAGGGAAGAAGCGAAAGUGACGGUACCGUACAAAAGAAGACACCGGCAACUAACGUGCCAGCAAGCCGCGGUAAUAAUCACGUGUA